CUCCCGCAUGCCAAGGAGAUGGAGUUUAUUUAAAUUAAAACUUGAAAACAAAAUAAAUCUCUCCAGGUUCCCAAAUAUACAGCAAACCUUUGAUUCGACACCUGAAAGGGAACAUUCGUUUGCAAUUGUGGAAUUUCAACUUUGGAUGGGAUUUGGGACCCCAGCAGCUGGAGGAUUCUUGUCUCUGAUGUCACAGAAGUUCCAUGGUAAACAGAGAGCUGGUCGAAGGUUUAACACAACCAACUUGCUUCUGAACCCAACAGUCAUGCCAGUGUGUCUUGAUGGCCACAAGACGUUCAGUUCACUUCCAGACCAGGAGAGUGCGAAGCAACGGUCGGAUACCUGGGAAGGUAACGCAGCCUUGGUCCCUGCACCCUGACAGCCUGCUCCCCCGCCUGCUCCUGGGGCACCACAGGGGUUGGAGGAGGAGGAGUAGGUCUCUGGGUGGGCCCAGCCCAGACUCCAGACCUGUGAACGAAGGUCCUUCCAGCCCCUUCCACUGGUCUGCCCCAUUGAAGGCACUGGAUACCACGAAGCAGCCAAGAGCUGACCUCUGCCUUUCUGGAACCCCUGACCCUCGAGGCCUCGGGCAUCAUGGAAUGGUUGUUUCAUGCCCUGAGCUCUGAGGGGGUGUUUUGCAGCAAUAAAUACUUAGAAUGCACUCA
rnacentral:lncRNA from 1 species